rnacentral:piRNA from 1 species
UGGAAUUGAAAUAGAUACCCGAA